UUUGGCUUUGGGCUUCCAGGAGUAGUGGAAACGUCUAUAUCUGCUGGAAACCCAGGUUUAGCUUCAGUUAGUUCAAUUAAGUGAAGGCAGAACUCUAGUCCUAGUGCUCUGUGGGGUCACAGGGCAUUGUACCUGCAGCCUGGCCUGGAACCCACCUACCCAGUUUUAAUAUUCUCUUCUCUAUGUUGCGAUGGAGCUCCGUUCUGCUAUGUUAUGAUGGCUGAGACCUCCGGGGACUCCUUAGAACGGAGCAGUUGUUCAUAAUAAAAUUAGUGUCUGCGUACAGCAGAAAGAAAGCCAAAUGUCCUCAGGUCAAAUGUCCUAGGAAGCAGAGGAUGGUGCAGAUUAAUCUACACUACCCACUGCGCAAGGAUAAGGCCAUGAUCAAAUAGAAUGUAAGCCUGGAGGUGGGUUACGGACAAUACAGGAGGAAAUAACAUUAUUUUGUAGGUGAAAGUUACUUGCUCCGAGUUGCCAAACCCAGAGCACUGAUUCCCCUCCAAGGAGAACUCCCUAAGCCAUGUUCUUCUGAGCUUUAGGAGCGCCAGCACCGAUUCACUUGCUUGGUCGGGAUUCGACCUAACUAGGAACUGGCUUUCUGACUCACAGUGUACAUGAAGCUUUGCUAUCAUUGAACAAUUAGUGUUACAUAUGGCCUCUAAUCCAUCUGGAAAUGAUUUUGGUAUGUGAAAGAUGCUAACAAGUAUGAGCCAAAGCAUGACUACCAAGAAAGCCAAGAGAAACCCGGGAAUAACAUUCUUACUGCACAGCCAAGACCCAAUUCAACUGUCUGGGUGUACAGAAUAGCCCUGGCAUCAGUAACAACCCAGCACCAUGGCCAUCGAGGCAAAGGAAAGGUAAUGGAUCUAUCAACACAUGGAGAUGCCCUAGAGAACCAGUCCUCCAGGCUCUUUAGCUAGUGGGAAAUCACUUGGAUUUAGAAACAGGAUCAGAUGAGGAAGGUGAACUGGGACUCAUCAAAGAAAGGGGACACCAGAAAGUUCUCAGAGCUAAGGAACAAACUUCAUAAAACUGGGAAGGAAAGCUAUCUGAGGAAAGAAAUAGGAUUUUGAUUCUGCUGUAAUUUUUGCAAACUAUUUGUCUGUCUGUUUACCUAAGACUUAAACAUGCUUUCUACAUUCUAUCAAUUUCAGUACAUUGACUGUCUGAUAUUUACAUUCUGGCAUUCUUCACUGACUGACCUAUCACAUUGACAGACAUCUUUACUAGUUUUUCUGUGGCCAUUGUGUCUGUGAGCCAUCUCUCCAACCCCUCAUUCUUCUUUUUUCUCUUUUAAAAUAAUCUUAAUUAGGUUUCAGUAUAAAUUUCUUUAAAGAAAUGGAAGGAUUUGGAAUUAUUUAAAUAGCAAAGAUCAAUCAGCCUUUAGAAGAAGCUAAUGGCACUUGUGGCUUCAUUCUUAUGGGAAAAAUAGGCCAGAUGCUGAGUAUCUUUAUUUCAUCCACACAAACUCUGUUUGUAUUUUGUGGUCAUUGGGACUAGUUUGGGUAUAUUGCCU
rnacentral:lncRNA from 1 species